CAGACCAAAUUUUUAAUGGGAUGCAGAUGAGCCCCAUUACAUCACGGAAUAUCAUGCAUCACGUCACAAAAAAAUAUGAGCGCAAAAAGUCCGUUUUAAAAGAUCGACUUCAAAUGGACCUUGCUUCUUGAUAUUCGAAAGGUAUUCUGCGUGUAAACGUCCAGUAUUACAGAAAUCAUGCCAUUGAAGUGAAGAAGAGCUGCAGCGAGAACACACAGGACUCAAUUUGAGCAUAGAAAUCGAAAAUAUUUUGGCAGAGUUUUCGAUUUCAAAGCAGACAAUGGAUGAAAUGUCAUACAGGCAAUUGCUUGUUUGAACGAAGACCCGGAAAGUUGAUCUCGAAAAUGAGCAGCUGAUGGACAGCAAUAAGCCGUAAGAUUUGUUUUAACAUGCAAGGGAUGCAACUGUUGCAGUGCGCGAAAACUUGGAAAAGCAUUGCGCACACCGAAACUCAGACGAGCAAUUUCUACCACAGCGCUACCUCUGCCUGAUGAUGAUGAUGUGCCCACCAUAACUCAGGCUAGCCUGAGUUCAUAUGUUGAACUCCAUCUGGUGGGCACAUCAUCAUCGCAGCUAGCAAAGAAGCAAUGGGCUGACAUCAAAGCUCUGUUGUCUGGGCUGGAGCCGAUUUCAGAAGCCAUAAAAAAGCUGCAAAGUGAACAACUUUUUUUUUUGGGGACCUCUACAAGCUUUUCUUGGAAACCAAAUUAAUGAUGAAGUCUAUGGCCAGCAACAUUCACAGUGAGGAUCUAGCCAAAAGCUUGUAUCGUGAUCUUAUCUUAUCUUAUCUUAUCUUUCAUCGCAUCGCAUCGACAAGUCUCAUAUGUAUAUCUACUUACUACAGGUUCUUCAUUAGAAAAUGGAACCGUUUUCAUUUGAUAUGAGGAUAUAGCUUUACUCUUUAAACAAGUAUCAUACAGAUUACAGGGUAUUUCCUGCUCGAGCGCCAAUUGUGGCAACAGUCUUAGAAAUGGCUUAAAAAUUGCUUUUCAGGGAAAUAAAAAAAAAAAAAAAGCUA